rnacentral:lncRNA from 1 species
AAAAUUUGCGAUAGAAAAGGGAUAGUGAAUUCAAAAUUCCAAUUCGGCAAAGUUUCAAAUGAAACGUACUCUUAAGUGGACAAUAGUAAUUUUCAUUGUUUAGAGUAUGUAGCACCACCAUGACAUAUAUUCAAAAUUGUUUGAAGUUUAUUUCAUUGAUUAUAUGGAUGAAUCUAACCUUAAGUUGCAGCAAAGUGUGGAUUGAGUCG